UUGAAACAGUGGUUCCUGUACAAUCACCGAAGUUAAGCAACAUUGAGCCUGGUCAGUACCUAGAUGGAUGACUGUUUGGGAAUAUCAGGUGCUGUAAG